rnacentral:tRNA from 1 species
GGGCUCGUCGUCUAGUUGGUUAGGACAGCUGCCUGACGCGCAGCAGGUCGGCCGUUCGAGUCGGCCCGAGCCCACCA